GGAUGGCUUUCACCAGAUGCACCUGAGUUCCCUGGAGUGGUAUCCAGGAUCCGCGAAUGUAGGAUUAUGGACGACUUAACAGCCAGAGUGAAGGGAUCGACAGAAACAUUCCUAAAACUCUGGGAACCGUGGGAUAAUAGUGUCGUGGGUUCUAGAGAGGACAGAUAGGAUUGAACGAAAGAUGUAAAGGGGUCCUUACAGUAAAGCUAAACCAGUAGCGGAGUCCUCCUCCGACCCGAGGAUCUAUUCGACACACUUGGCAUAGGGACAUCUGGCUGAGCCUGCUGUCCCCCCCCCCUUCGGAUGUCAUCCCUUGAAGUCCUUUCCUCGCCGCCUCUGGGUCACCGCAUUCACCAC